AAGUCGUAACAAGGUUUCCGUAGGUGAACCUGCGGAAGGAUCAUUACAAAUCUGAGGCCCGUAUAGGGUCUAUAUGUUCGAGGCAGCAAUGCUUCGUGACAUUUACGCUUGUAUGUUUGACAGAGUUAGUGUGACAUAUAAACAAAGACAACUUUUAACAAUGGAUCUCUUGGCUCUU
rnacentral:misc_RNA from 1 species